rnacentral:rRNA from 1 species
GAGUCGCAAACUCGCGAGAGUAAGCUAAUCUCUUAAAGCCGUUCUCAGUUCGGACUGUAGGCUGCAACUCGCCUACACGAAGUCGGAAUCGCUAGUAAUCGCGGAUCAGCAUGCCGCGGUGAAUACGUUCCCGGGCCUUGUACACACCGCCCGUCACACCAUGGGAGUUUGUAACGCCCAAAGUCGGUGGCCUAACCUUUAUAGGAGUCAGCCGUCUAAGGUAGGACAGAUGAUUAGGGUGAAGUCGUAACAAGGUAUC